CCUACGGGAGGCUGCAGUGGGGAAUAUUGCACAAUGGGCGCAAGCCUGAUGCAGCCAUGCCGCGUGUGUGAAGAAGGCCUUCGGGUUGUAAAGCACUUUCAGCGGGGAGGAAGGCGGUGAGGUUAAUAACCUCAUCGAUUGACGUUACCCGCAGAAGAAGCACCGGCUAACUCCGUGCCAGCAGCCGCGGUAAUACGGAGGGUGCAAGCGUUAAUCGGAAUUACUGGGCGUAAAGCGCACGCAGGCGGUCUGUCAAGUCGGAUGUGAAAUCCCCGGGCUCAACCUGGGAACUGCAUUCGAAACUGGCAGGCUAGAGUCUUGUAGAGGGGGGUAGAAUUCCAGGUGUAGCGGUGAAAUGCGUAGAGAUCUGGAGGAAUACCGGUGGCGAAGGCGGCCCCCUGGACAAAGACUGACGCUCAGGUGCGAAAGCGUGGGGAGCAAACAGGAUUCGAUACCCUGGUAGUC
rnacentral:rRNA from 1 species